rnacentral:lncRNA from 1 species
UUGUGUAUUACUCGUGCUCCACUUCAAAGCAAAGCGUUCGUACGCACUGGAAGAUGGAUCCACGGACGCUGAGACGAGCAGUUGCAACGUGCCCUGUGUCGGCGGUCGGUAGUACUGCCAUAAUGGAAAUUUUCAGGCAAUGUUGCCGCCUGAAAGCCGAGUUUGGUUUCAAGCCAACCUGGACAACUGCUGUAUGAGGCGCUGUUUCUCAGGAGGAUCAGUGGGAAGGCGUCAGGUCAUGCAGAUGAUAGCAUCAAUUUCACAAUGCCCAGCCUUGGUGCCCUCCAUCAAGAGCAAGCCACUUGCGUUCGCCUUCAGGCAGAUGGUUGAUGUCUUCUACAAAGCAGUUGGGAAGA